AGGAGUCUUCCCAACCCAUCUUGAAGAAAUUGGCGGAAGUGUUUAUGGCACCUAUGUGGUUCUGGGAAGGGGCUCUGUGCUGGUGGUUUGGGAUGGCAGUCUUUUGGAAGUGCAAACUUGAAUGGCCUCAGCUGCUGUGAAGACAGUUUCCCAGGCUUCUUCUCUCCCGUUCCCCACCCCCGAUGCUGGCAGGAAAGCUCUGGUCACCAAAGAUGAUAAAUAAAUGAAUUGUUCAUUUGGUUUCUGCUGUCUUGCCUCUUUCUCUUCAGUCAACGUUGUCAAAGGCUGCCCAGCAUGAAUCAGAAGUGCUGGCUGAACACUUACCCUAGACAUCUGGGGUUGUUUUGUGUGGCAGCAUUUACAUUUGAAUUCACCUCAUACCAUAGAAGAGAUUAACCAGUGGCUGCAGCUUCAUAUCCAGUGGGGAGUCACAGAAUGACUUUUUCUGUGCUGUUAUGUUCUGGACCAUAAAACACGUUGGUGAGGUCUGAUCAUUGUUUUACUGAAAAGGAGCUUCAAGGGUGCCCUCAAAUGAGCUUCUCCUUGCACCAUGUUAAAGGUAGGCUUCCACAAGAAAGUCUUUUGAACAACAAAAAA